rnacentral:rRNA from 1 species
UACGUAGGGUGCAAGCGUUGUCCGGAAUUAUUGGGCGUAAAGAGCUCGUAGGCGGCUUGUCGCGUCGGCUGUGAAAACCUGGGGCUCAACCCCGGGCCUGCAGCCGAUACGGGCAAGCUAGAAUUCGGUAGGGGAGACUGGAAUUCCUGGUGUAGCGGUGAAAUGCGCAGAUAUCAGGAGGAACACCAAUGGCGAAGGCAGCUCGCUGGGACGGUACUGGCGCUGAAGCGCGAAAGCGUGGGGAGCAAACAGG